ensembl:lncRNA
AUGUAUAACUGCUUCACCUUUCUAAUUUGGUUAGAUACCUGCGCAGCGACACUGAGCAUCCUGCAGCUGGGUCAGCGUCACACUCAGCAGGAGCAGAAACCUCGGGACAGGCCAGGUAAGCUUUUCUUUUUUAUGUUACCCACUAGCACAAGAAAACCUGCCUUACAAGGUUCCACAUCCACACUAUUGGUGGAUUUCUCUCUCACUCUGUGUAGGUCCACUUCCACAAAGCGCCUACCUCUCAGAGAAUGGGAUGCCUUCCAGCGGACCUUCCCAGUAACACUAAAAGGAGAGCCACCUUCAAAACGCCGCUGUGUACAGGCUGGUUUUCCACACUACCGAGCCCACUACCACAAGCGGAGGGAGCUUCAGCUUAAGCAGAGAGUUCAGCACAUCCUCGGUGUGAUCGCCCUGAUGCCUUUCAACAAAGGAGACGUCGUCUGCGACUACCACGGGACGUGCAUCACCAAAGCUGCAGGGAAUCGGAGGCAGCAGUCGGGGUCUCUCUUCUUCUACAGGGACGAGUGCCACAGGGCUGAUGCCACUGCGUCCCCCUGUGCCUGCCACCUGCACAAGGACUCCUGUGGAAGGCACAUCAACCUUUGCCAAAGGAAUCCAAACGUGAAGCCACAAAGGUUCACAAUGAACUUCCCUGCUGGUCCUCGUGAGAGUGUGCUGUUCAUCGCCCUGAGGGACAUCGCGGUUGGAGAGGAACUCCUGUGGGACUAUGGAGUCUAGAGAUGGCGCCGUGUUUUAUGUCCUAUCCUACAUUUGGAUAUCUGCCCAUACCGACAUGACUCUAAUAUAGUGUAUUUCAUAUAAACAUGGGCCAUAAAAACUAAAAAACACCAUCGAUGUCCAGUCCAGCUGUGGCUCCAUAUAUCUUUCUCAGAGGUGAAAUGCAGGUUAACUCGGUCCAUCCCUGAUGGAGUCACCCAUAAAUCCUUCGACUGGACAUUUGACUUGAGUUGUCUUUGUUUUUUGUUUUGUUUGACCUUUUCUGAUUAAAAACAUGUAAAAAUGUGAGCUCUCAUGCAGCAUUUAAACAUGAUGCUUAUGUCCCUGAUAACUAAACCACUGUUGUUGUUUUUUACCGAUAAUAAAAACUAUUAUUAACACAAUCAGAAAUCAAUCUCCCUCACAGGCCUUUAUAUACCAAACCCUGUGGUGACAGCUGCAGUGGAGACUUCAGGGCUCAAACUUUCUCUGAUUGGCUCCAACCUUGACAGGCUCAGCCUGCUGCUGCCAACAACACUCACUAAGUUUCCCCACCGAGCACCUCAGGCCUCUGCAGUUACUGAUGAUCAUCAACCCUAGUUGGAGAUUUCCAAUCAGAACAGCCAAACACUUCAUUUUAACCUGAACUCUUUACUUUCAGCCCAACACUAAUGUGGCCCUGAGCUUAACUUCAGGUUCACACCACUGUGUGUAAACCCAGCUCAACUUGAACCCUCAAACACCAAACUAAUGUUUUUAUGGUCAUUUUCAUAAAAAUAUUGGAGACCACAUUUAACGUAAUUAACAAAAACAUCCAUGCCACAUCAUUAAAAACAGGCUUUGUUACAGGAAUUAUUUCAGAUUUGACCAAAUGAGGCUCUCCACCCACUGAGGGACAGGCAGUGAGUACUGUGAAACCUGGUGAACCUCCUG